rnacentral:ribozyme from 17 species
UUUUUCUCAUUGUAUUUUUUUUUUUUUUAAUUUUAAUUUUUUUUUCCUCUA